rnacentral:rRNA from 1 species
UACGGGGGGGGGCAAGCGUUGUUCGGAAUUACUGGGCGUAAAGGGCUCGUAGGCGGCCCAACUAAGUCAGACGUGAAAUCCCUCGGCUUAACCGGGGAACUGCGUCUGAUACUGGAUGGCUUGAGUUUGGGAGAGGGAUGCGGAAUUCCAGGUGUAGCGGUGAAAUUCGUAGAUAUCGGGAGGAACACCAGUGGCGAAGGCGGCGAUCUGGGAAGAUACUGACGCUGAGGUGCGAAAGCGUGGGAGCAAACAGG